AGAUUCAAAGUCCUCAUCUGCAUAAGGUUCAUCUGACAUUCUUAAUAAGAUAAUUACAGUGAUAAUUAAAAGUGCAUCUUUACUGAGAGAGAGCAGGAAAAGAAGAGGAAAAGGGGGGAGUCAAGCCAAGAAACUGAUAAAUACCAAGUGAGUGGGAUAGAGGAAAGAGGAAUCAGAAAGUCAUCCGAAAGUUCUCACUUUUUCCUUGUAAGAAGAUGAAAAUCAACAGUUGAAGCCAAAAAUUGAUUCAGAUGGGUGAAGUAGACAAGAAUCUCUCUAUUGAGGAAGAGUAGCAAGAAUCAUCUCAGUCACAUGUUUAGUUCAUAAAAUGACCUAUUUCAUGAAUCUACUCAUUUUAAGUCGAGUUUUAUAACUGUUCUGCAAUAAAGUGUGAAUGUUGAACCACUGGC
rnacentral:lncRNA from 1 species